AGUGAACGCUGGCGGUAGGCCUAACACAUGCAAGUCGAACGGCAGCACAGUAAGAGCUUGCUCUUACGGGUGGCGAGUGGCGGACGGGUGAGGAAUACAUCGGAAUCUACUUUUUCGUGGGGGAUAACGUAGGGAAACUUACGCUAAUACCGCAUACGACCUACGGGUGAAAGCAGGGGAUCUUCGGACCUUGCGCGAUUGAAUGAGCCGAUGUCGGAUUAGCUAGUUGGCGGGGUAAAGGCCCACCAAGGCGACGAUCCGUAGCUGGUCUGAGAGGAAGAUCAGCCACACUGGAACUGAGACACGGUCCAGACUCCUACGGGAGGCAGCAGUGGGGAAUAUUGGACGAUGGGCGCAAGCCUGAUCCAGCCAUACCGCGUGGGUGAAGAAGGCCUUCGGGUUGUAAAGCCCUUUUGUUGGGAAAGAAAAGCAGCAGGUUAAUACCCCGCUGUUCUGACGGUACCCAAAGAAUAAGCACCGGCUAACUUCGUG
rnacentral:rRNA from 1 species